rnacentral:rRNA from 1 species
GAAGAGAGAGUUCAAGAGUACGUGAAACCGUCUGGGAGUAAACGGGUGGUUCCCGAAAGUGCGAAAGGGGAGAUUCAGGUUUCGCCGCGCGCCGGGCCGCGCCCGAAGCAAGGGAUGGCGUUCUCGCGGCCGAGGGGCGACCCCCGGUCCGGGAGCGCCACCCUUCGAGGCGCUGUACGUCCCGGCGUCGGAGUGACGCACUUCUCCCCCGGUAGAACGUCGCGAUCCGUCGGUCGCCGGCCUACGGCCCCGGGUGGAGCCUGCGCGGUUCGCCGCGCAUGACCCCGGGAUCCCGGCCGGGUGCCCGACGGCAUGAAGAGAGGAAGGAGUCGGCGCGCCUCUCGUUAGGCGUCCGCCCCUCCGCAAGCGCCCGCGGGAAUCGGAGGCUCCGGGCCCGGCCCGGUCUCCUUCUUCAGCGGGGCUGUUUGCGACGAGGAGGUGUGCUCGGAC